rnacentral:tRNA from 1 species
CAGAAAAUAAUUUAUUUAAAAAAUAUAAACUUUGGAAGUUUAAAAUGAUUAUAUUAUCUUUUCUGA